GCGCCUAGUGAUGAAGCUGCAUAGGGCAGAUUCUGAGCUGAGAGGUCCGGCCUCUCACCGCUGAUUCUCAGUCGAUGCAACCUGAAGGCGC